CAAACGACUCUCGGCAACGGAUAUCUCGGCUCACGCAUCGAUGAAGAACGCAGCAAAAUGCGAUACUUGGUGUGAAUUGCAGAAUCCCGUGAACCAUCGAGUUUUUGAACGCAAGUUGCGCCCGAAGCCUUUUGGCCGAGGGCACGUCUGCCUGGGCGUCACAC
rnacentral:rRNA from 1 species